rnacentral:lncRNA from 1 species
GCUACAGAUCCAGGCUCUGGGCUUUGGGGAGAAGCGAAGCGCUCGAUCUAUGGAACGGGAGCCGAGCUGUCAGAGCCGACCGUACUGAGCAAAGGGCGGACGAGAAGCCCAUCCAAUGUUUAGUACAUUUACAUUGCUUCAAGGCAGAACAAUUCUUUACGGGUACACUUGGGCACCAUAUCCAUUACUAGGAAAAGCUAUCGGGUUUGGAAGUCUUCUGCAUAGAAACUGGCUUCGCAACGACCGCCAGGUGCCGGGGGGCCGCCCGGGCACAGCUGCGCCUCGUCCGGAGCCCGGGGCGGGGGCGGGGCCCCCCCAAAGCCUCUUAAGCUCCGCCGGAGGCCACCAGCAGCCACAAGGGAGUUCGCGAGGGGUUCUAGUGGCGUUUGGGGUGGCUGUUCCUGGCCUCGGGGUUCUCUUUAGCGUUCUCCGCUCGUCGCGGCGUUUCGUUUGGUUUCAGGCUGUGGCGAGAGCUGUCGCGGCGCGGCUCCAGGAGCGCGAUCUCGUUCCUGCGGCGGAGCGGCUCGCGGGACCGGCACGCUGCUGCGGCUGGCUGCGCUGUGUUGAGAACAGACGGAGCGGCGAGGCGGCAGAGUUGCUCUUCCCGCGGGAGAAGCGGCAGGUAUUGAGCCGUGCCCGGGGAUGGAUGGGGAACGAGCGCGGCGGUGGCCUGGGAGGAGAAGGCGGGGGACAUCAUCCAGCCCGGGACGAGGAGGCCGGCGAGAGCUCCGGCACGCAGCUGGAAGCAGCCUCCCGGCUGCGGGCAUCACUGCUCAGGGUGGGCUGGAACCGCCCUGCGGGGCGCGCUGGUUGCGGGAGAUUCCCGCAGGGUGUGGAAGGUACAAAUUCUGACUUUGUUUCUUACAGGAGCUGCUCGGAGGCAUCGCUCAGGUUACAGCAUCGGAAGCGGUCCCGCGAGUGGUGA